UGCACGUCAUAAGUAUAUUCUAAAUAUUGAUGUAUCGAGUAGCGCUGAUUAUGGCAUUUCCUUCUGUGCUUGCGGAUGUGUAGAGAUGUCUUGAAGAAUGAACUUCGAUAUUUUAUCUGGCGGACACUUACACCAAUUCUCGACGCAUGUGCAUGGGCCGCAUAGAGCAGAUGUUUGGCACGGAUAACGAGUAACUGGACCUCUUGCUUCGGCUCCAAAUUGCACACCUACCACAAUUAAUAUUUCCAUAAUUCAUAAUAAAACUGUUUCUUGCCUUUAUUAUGAAUAUACUGCUUUAUGCAUAAGUUUACGUUACAAAAAUAUACACUUAAACUCGACUUUAUGGCUGAAAAUAUCGACAAUUGUUAGGUUAAAGUAUAUAAUUUUAACGAGGUAUCAAGGACAUAUACACAUUUUCAAAAUAAGUGAAGUCAACCAGGUUGGAGAAAAAAAUUCCUUUAUGCAGUUUUAUUGUUCAAAGAAGUCAGCCCCUGAGGUUAGCCUAGGUUGUUAGGAUUAACGUUCGGAUUAUAUUAUGUCAAGAAUAAAUUUCUCUUUCAUUGUAAGAAAAAUAAAAAUUGAGAGAAGUAUUUUACCAUUAUAUGAAACAAGAAGGAGCACAACGAGGAAAGCUGACUUGAAUGAACCUUUCUCCAUAUCUAUUCAAUUUGUUGAAGGCAAGGAAGGAUUAUAAGUUUGUACGUGUUAUAAAACUUGAAUUCGGAGUCACUAG
rnacentral:lncRNA from 1 species